AACGAACGCUGGCGGCAUGCCUAACACAUGCAAGUCGAACGAGACCUUCGGGUCUAGUGGCGCACGGGUGCGUAACGCGUGGGAAUCUGCCCUUGGGUUCGGAAUAACAGAUAGAAAUGACUGCUAAUACCGAAUGAUGUCUUCGGACCAAAGAUUUAUCGCCCAGGGAUGAGCCCGCGUCGGAUUAGCUAGUUGGUGAGGUAAAGGCUCACAAAGGCGACGAUCCGUAGCUGGUCUGAGAGGAUGAUCAGCCACACUGGGACUGAGACACGGCCCAGACUCCUACGGGAGGCAGCAGUGGGGAAUAUUGGACAAUGGGCGAAAGACUGAUCCAGCAAUGCCGCGUGAGUGAUGAAGGCCUUAGGGUUGUAAGCUCUUUUACCCGGGAUGAUAAUGACAGUACCGGGAGAAUAAGCCACGGCUAACUCCGUGCCAGCCGCCGCGGUAAGAC
rnacentral:rRNA from 1 species